rnacentral:rRNA from 1 species
GACGAACGCUGGCGGCGUGCUUAACACAUGCAAGUCGAACGAAGUGGCGAACGGGUGAGUAACGCGUAGGUAACUGCCUGGUAGCGGGGGAUAACUAUUGGAAACGAUAGCUAAUACCGAAUACUACCAGAUGGACCUGCGUUGUAUUAGCUAGUUGGUGAGGUAACGGCGCACCAAGGCAACGAUACAUAGCCGACCCGAGAGGGGGAGCGGCCACACUGGGUAUGAGACCCGGCCCAGACGCCUUCGGGAUGCAGCAGUAGGGAAUCUUCGGCAAUUGGGGGAAGCCUGACCGAGCAACGCCGCGGGAGUGAAGAAGGUUUUCGGAUCGUAAAGCUCUUUUGUUAAGGAAGCGGUACUUAACCAGAAAGGGACGGCUAACUACGUGCCAGCCGCCGCGGUAAUAC